rnacentral:rRNA from 1 species
CCUACGGGAGGCAGCAGUGAGGAAUAUUGGUCAAUGGGCGCUAGCCUGAACCAGCCAAGUAGCGUGAAGGAUGACUGCCCUCUGGGUUGUAAACUUCUUUUAUAUGGGAAUAAAGUGCAGUAUGUAUACUGCUUUGCAUGUCCCUUAUGAAUAAGGCUCGGCUAACUCCGUGCCAGCAGCCGCGGUAAUACGGAGGAUCCGAGCGUUAUCCGGAUUUAUUGGGGUUAAAGGGAGCGUAGGCGGGUUGGUAAGUCAGUUGUGAAAGUUUGCGGCUAAACCGUAAAAUUGCAGUUGAUACUGGCAUCCUUGAGUAUAGUAGAGGUAGGUGGAAUUCGUGGUGUAGCGGUGAAAUGCUUAGAGAUCACGAAGAACUCUGAUUGCGAAGGCAGCCUGCUGGACUGUAACUGACGCUGAUGCUCGAAAGUGUGGGUAGCAAACAGGAUUAGAUACCCCAGUAGUC